CGGCACGGGUGAGUAACACGUAUGCAAUCCACCUGUAACAGGGGGAUAACCCGGAGAAAUCCGGACUAAUACCCCAUAAUAUGGGCGCUCCGCAUGGAGAGCCCAUUAAAGAGAGCAAUUUUGGUUACAGACGAGCAUGCGCUCCAUUAGCCAGUUGGCGGGGUAACGGCCCACCAAAGCGACGAUGGAUAGGGGUUCUGAGAGGAAGGUCCCCCACAUUGGACUGAGACACGGCCAA
rnacentral:rRNA from 1 species